GGGGUUGUGGCUCAGUGGUAGAGCGUUCACCUAGCAAAUGCAAGGCCAUGGGUUUGAUCCUCAUCACCA
rnacentral:tRNA from 1 species